UGGGGAAUCUUGCACAAUGGGGGAAACCCUGAUGCAGCGACGCCGCGUGAGCGAUGAAGGUUUUCGAAUCGUAAAGCUCUGUCCUAUGGGAAGAUAAUGACGGUACCAUGGGAGGAAGCCCCGGCUAACUACGUGCCAGCAGCCGCGGUAAUACGUAGGGGGCGAGCGUUGUCCGGAAUUACUGGGCGUAAAGGGUUCGCAGGCGGCAUGGCAAGUCCGAUGUAAAAGGCGAAGGCUCAACCUUCGUAAGCAUCGGAAACUGUCAAGCUUGAGUGAAGGAGGGGCAAGUGGAAUUCCUAGUGUAGCGGUGGAAUGCGUAGAUAUUAGGAGGAAGACCGGUGGCGAAGGCGACUUGCUGGACUUCAACUGACGCUGAGGAACGAAAGCGUGGGUAGCAAACAGG
rnacentral:rRNA from 1 species